rnacentral:rRNA from 1 species
GACAGAGGGUGCAAACGUUGUUCGGAUUUACUGGGCGUAAAGCGUGUGUAGGCGGCUUUGUAUGUCGGAUGUGAAAGCCCACGGCUCAACCGUGGAAGUGCAUCCGAAACUGCAUAGCUUGAGUCCCGGAGAGGAAGGUGGAAUGCUUGGUGUAGAGGUGAAAUUCGUAGAUAUCGGGAGGAACACCAGUGGCGAAGGCGGCGAUCUGGGAAGAUACUGACGCUGAGGUGCGAAAGCGUGGGGAGCAAACAGG